CUGUAACUGUUGAGUUUUGCUGGAUGUUGCAAAUCAUAAAAAACUUCAGUGAGAUUUUGGCUAAUAAUUUAUCGUCAUCCUCAGGGGUACUUAUGUUUUUUCUUCCCAUAAAUGAAUAAAAGCUCUUUUUUGUUGUUCCUUUCAUUUAAAAGGCGACAAAACUUGGGAAAUAAAGGAGACCUGAGUAUCUUUCUAAGCCAUUGACUUGCCCUGACCUCGAGUGCUGCAUUUGGACACUGCGUGCUUCUAUUAUUCCAGUGGUCAAAAGGGGACACAAAACAUGUAUGUGUCCUCUUGCCAUAUGUGGAUAGAAAGCAUUAGGAGAUGGGGAGGUGUAAGGAGAGUGAAUGGAGGUGCACGGGGAUGCUCAGAACCAGAUGAUCACCCUAAUGUUGGUGACGUGGAAGAUUUUGUGCAGCCUCACUCAGGUAUGGCUCCCUGCCCUGCUCAGGGUCAGAUGCCCCCAGAAUAUUUUGGUGUGGCAAACAUUCUUCCAAAUGAAAGGAAACCCCAAAUAAUAGGGGGGUUACCAUCAGGAUUAAAGGAGAUUAAAAUCUGCUUGAAGAGGCGUGUAUAGAUGAUCUUACUGGUAGUUACACAGGCCCUGUCAUCACAGCAGUUCAUUGCCAGCAAAGAAAAAGUGUAAAAUAAUUAGAUUUAAUACCAGAUACUUAUGUAAGGCAGGGCUGUAGUAACAAGCACUUCAUCCUCUCAUCUCAGUGGUAGAACUGUUCCAAGCUGGGUUAGAGAAUACAGAUUAAAACCAAGCCAGCAAGACAUUC
rnacentral:lncRNA from 1 species